rnacentral:rRNA from 1 species
ACGCACGCUGGCGGCGUGCUUAACACAUGCAAGUCGAACGGAAAGGCCCUGCUUUUGUGGGGUGCUCGCGUGGCGAACGGGUGAGUAACACGUGAGUAACCUGCCCUUGACUUUGGGAUAACUUCAGGAAACUGGGGCUAAUACCGGAUAGGAGCUCCUGCUGCAUGGUGGGGGUUGGAAAGUUUCGGCGGUUGGGGAUGGACUCGCGGCUUAUCAGCUUGUUGGUGGGGUAGUGGCUUACCAAGGCUUUGACGGGUAGCCGGCCUGAGAGGGUGACCGGCCACAUUGGGACUGAGAUACGGCCCAGACUCCUACGGGAGGCAGCAGUGGGGAAUAUUGCACAAUGGGCGGAAGCCUGAUGCAGCAACGCCGCGUGCGGGAUGACGGCCUUCGGGUUGUAAACCGCUUUCGCCUGUGACGAAGCGUGAGUGACGGUAAUGGGUAAAGAAGUACCGGCUAACUACGUG